UUUUGGGCAGGAAGGUAUGCACCUGCUAGUCUGUGUUGAUCUUUGUAAACAUUGACCUGGACCUGGAAAAUAAUAUUGUUCCUGGUCCAAACUGAGCAUGAAAAUAUGUUUACUGUUUGUACGUAAUUUCUACUAAUUAAAUUUUUUUUUUUGAUGAUGUCGGAUAGACACUGAGAGCAAUAUAUCAGUUUUUUUUGCGUGAUGCUAUUAUUCUUGAACUGCUGUCUGAUCAGUUCAUAUGCUUACUUGGAGAAGUGGUCAAUGCAAGUGCCUAAAAUGAUGAGCACUGAUUUUGUUUUUAUUUUUUUUUAUAAUUAUUUUUAAUGUAACCCAAAAAGAUGUAUGGUG
rnacentral:misc_RNA from 1 species